UUCAACAGAACCACAUUCUUCACCGUUUCCUGUUUCUCCUGUAUGUUUUAACGUGGCUGGUGUCAGUCGUGGCUUAUGCUGCAGGUCUCUGCCUAUCUGAAAACGCACUGGUCCGACCCGAUAGACCACGUUGGCUGAUUUACGGGCUACGCAGGAAUCGAAACCCGUGUGGUCCUGGAAGGUAGAAAAGCCCCAGUAGUAGAACAAAUGACCAACUCGGGGCGAAAACGGUGCCUCGGGCUGAAACGGUGCUGGGGACGAACACGGCAGAAAAGGCGGGUAAACAUGCAAAUGGACCUUCCUUUAAUGGACCGUCGGCCACACCUGCCCGGAGCCAUCUGUUCUGGUUCAUGCGUAGCGACAGCCGCGCAGUGAUCCUCAGGCCAAGAACCACGAGAACAAAGUGUUCUCAGGCGAGUGUGGUGUUUGGGGUGAUUUCGCUCGAGCAAACCUUUAAAGCGGUUAAAGAACGCGCCGCACUGCAGCAGCCGCAGCACACGGCGGCUCGUGUGAAGAAGCGAACGGGAGAGCGUGGCACCAGACAAAGGCCACGCCGUGCCCGCCUCGCCCGUCACUGCGGCUCCGCACGUCGGUGGGAGCUUCUGGGCGGCACAACGGCGGUUUCCAGAUAUAACCCGGGCUCAAAUGGCAGCCAACACGUACGCCUCGACAGCUGGACGAGCACACGGCCAGAGACGGGCUGUAGCGCGGCACCAGGAACAGCCCAGCACGUGUUCCGGCCGGCGCCCGGCCGCACGCUCCGCUCCUGCCGAGCUGGACUAGCAAGACGGCUACUGAAAAGCCAAACGAGAGCGUAGAACAGAGACGGAGACCUGCUCUGAGGACAUAAGUCGACAAAGAUGCCAAGCACGGUGGUAAAGAGACGGGAGGGAGGGAGUCACGACUGAAAAGCAGCUAGAGGUGGUUACUCGCGGGCGGUGGGUAAGUCAUGGAGCAGCCACGGGAAACCUGCUCACGAACACGCCUCAGCGACACACAGGGUGAGGGAGGAAGCUGAGAGCGAGUGAGUUUUUCUUUUUUUUCUGCUGCCAAUGAGAGGAGGGACUUUCAGGCUGUUGUUUCACAUUCUACACAUCGGAGCCUGGAUGACCGGGUGGGGAUGGUAACAGGGUGCUCGUCUCUCCAGCCCUGUCUCCCAGGGGACCAGCAGCAGCUCUGCACACAGACAGCGACACUAAACCCACAAAGUGUGUGUUUUGUUUUACAGCGUCUUAUAGACAGAUUCCAACUAUACUAACACCAGUUGAAUAGAGAAAAACAACCAGAGCUGUUGGGUUUGUUCUUUUCGCUUCUCUACAGUCGUGCUCAUGUGUUCUGUAAAGUCUUAAACUGUAACUGUGUAAAGGGACUUGAAAUGAAUUUGUGAAAUGGUGCUUCACAAACUUAGAUCAACUAAGAGUUUGCAGCAGGACAAAGAUUUUGAAUAGACUAACGAGGGGCAGAUUUACCGGCAUCACUGCUGCACAAAGGGACAAUUCAGAGACAUAUGAUACAUGAAAAGAGAUUCCUAAGAAUGAGACGAGGAAAAACCUCUUAUCAAAAGAUUUCUUGUGUUUCCAGGUCAGAAAUGACAAAAAUGUGAAAGUAUGGUUUAAUCUUCUUUCCAGUGAACAUAGUGAAAAUAUCCUCAGCACUGCAGAAAGAAACGUGAAUGCAUGCAGAGAUUUCCAUGUUUUCAUAGUUUUUUAUUCAUGGAAAGAGUUUCGUUACGCUCUUAGUUUCAGGAGAAACAGGUGAAACUGUGAGAAAAACUCUCAGCCUGCGAGACUUUCCCUCUCAUCGCAUGUUCAAACAAUAUUUGCUCUGGUUUUGCUUCGAAAAUAUCAGCGCACAUGUGCGUCCUCGUCCUCAACACGGACUCUGUGUGCACAAUAAAAAUGAACAUCUGUGAUAGCAGUAGUCAAAGGGCGAGAAAGCAAAAUACACAAAAUGACAAAAUAAUGAGUCCACCACCAAAAGAGUGCAAAAACUAAACAGCUGUGUUGUAGAAAGCAAGCAGAGGGAGCAUUUAUUUAGAAACUUUAUUUCUGACUUUACACGUUUGUCACCUAAAGAUUAUGUUUCAAAUCCGUUGCGAAUUAAAGCCCUGAACAAAUCACAGCACAUAUAGAAUAUUGUUAACGACAUACAUUUACAUCAGAGGUCUUUAGUUUCUUACUGGGUGUUUCGCAGCAACACGUGAUGUUAGUAGGCUCUCGUUUUAAUCUUAUUUUAGUGGUUUAGGCAACGACAGGUCAUUAUAAAAACAAAAUACAAAUAGUUUGUCAUUAGCACCGUUACUGUUAUUUUUCUGGGAUCAGCGCCGUGUCCCGUUAGUAGCGACUACGACUUGAGAAACUGCUGCUGCUGGAAGGAGGAGCUUAGAUGAUGAGGUCUUUGUCCACGUCCUCUGCAAAGACACAAAGCCGUAAAAAUUUAGUCACGGUGAUGACGUCAUUUCUGAAGAGCACAGUUAUUUAUGUUAUUUAUUGCUUCAUGAAGUUUUUCUGCAUAUUCAGAGGUGUUAGUGUGUAAUAGUUUAGACUAACUUAUGGCCACACUCUGGCUCCUGAUUGGUUAAUUGGACAAUAUACAUUCUGGUCUGGUUCUACUCACGCUCCUUGAUGCCGAAGCAGUUGGCCCACUCCUCCAGGGCGAUGUAUUUGUCGUUGUCAGAGUCACACUGCUCAAAGAAGCGGGUGGUGCAGUGCUCCAUGGGAAUGAGGGGGGCGCGCAGGGGGGCGAGCUCCGUGUGGGUCAGGUACCUGGU